UACGUAGGGUGCGAGCGUUGUCCGGAAUUAUUGGGCGUAAAGAGCUUGUAGGCGGUUUGUCGCGUCUGCUGUGAAAAUCCGGGGCUCAACCCCGGACUUGCAGUGGGUACGGGCAGACUAGAGUGUGGUAGGGGAGACUGGAAUUCCUGGUGUAGCGGUGGAAUGCGCAGAUAUCAGGAGGAACACCAGCGGCGAAGGCGGCGCUCUGGGCCGGUACUGACGCUGAGGAGCGAAAGCGUGGGUAGCAAACAGG
rnacentral:rRNA from 1 species